rnacentral:rRNA from 1 species
UUAAAUUGAAGAGUUUGAUCAUGGCUCAGAUUGAACGCUGGCGGCAGGCCUAACACAUGCAAGUCGAACGGUAACAGGAAGCAGCUUGCUGUUUCGCUGAC